GGCGCCGGAGGAGCGGCGGAGGAUGACACGGUCACCCGGCUGAGGAGGGAGCUCGCCUCCCCGCCUUCCGAGUCCACACCGCCCGCGGCGCCUCCCGAGCCGGCCCCGGACGAGUCGGCCCCCUUCGACUCCAGAGAGUCCUCCGGUAAUCCCGCUUCGCGACGCAGAAUUUCGACGGACUCGGUCUUUGUACUGUGGGAGGAAGCCGGAGAACCUACGCAGACACGAUAGGGGAAAGUUGCCAGAGGCUAUGACGACACCCACAGAUGUCUUGCUUUGUCCGAUCAGCAAUCGAAAACCUGAAGACGUUCAGUUUGUCCUAAGGGAAACAGUAAGAGUAAGAAAACAUUUAAUGUCUACAUGUGAAACAUUUUUGCUAUCUUUAAUCCAACGGGUCCAAAUUUGGUUUUAGUUCCGACCCAGGUCUAGUCUCUUUUAGCGACAGAUGAGCACCCCUUUUUAAAAACAGUUGUAUUAAAUGUAAUACACACUUACAGAGACAUAUAAGUGAAAUCAAAUGAGUUUUGCAGUGAUAAACCUCUCAUGGAACAGCUGUGUCAAUGUCUGUCUGACCAUGUCCCGACCAUGCCUGUAACUUUGCUCUGGUUCUCUUUAUCAGGAUUAAAUUUGGCACGGAUAAUGUUCAGAUGUUCUAUGUAUUUCAAGAGAAAAAGGGUCUCAUCUGCAUUAUUACAUAGGGGAUAUUCACUCAGAAUUUUUUUUUCCAUUUCCAUUUACUCUGUCCCAGUAACAUUUAUGCUAAUGUUUACACCUCUGCUGAAAUCAGAAGUGUUACCUUUAUUAUAGAUACCAAGAUUAUUCAUAUAGACCUUGUAGAUAUACUCUUUUCAUUUUGGGCAUGUCAUUUUCGAGCAGGGACCUGUGAAAAUCUGUUUGAUUAUUUUUUUUAAAUUUCCCCUUAACUGACUAAUUGAAUAAUCUGUGAAUUUUUAAAUGAAAAUAAACAGUGACAAAUAA